rnacentral:rRNA from 1 species
CCUACGGGAGGCAGCAGUGGGGAAUAUUGCACAAUGGGGGAAACCCUGAUGCAGCGACGCCGCGUGAGUGAAGAAGUAUUUCGGUACGUAAAGCUCUAUCAGCAGGGAAGAAAAUGACGGUACCUGACUAAGAAGCCCCGGCUAACUACGUGCCAGCAGCCGCGGUAAUACGUAGGGGGCAAGCGUUAUCCGGAUUGACUGGGUGUAAAGGGAGCGUAGACGGCAGCGCAAGUCUGGAGUGAAAUCCCAUGGCUUAACCAUGGAACUGCUUUGGAAACUGUGCAGCUAGAGUGCAGGAGAGGUAAGCGGAAUUCCUAGUGUAGCGGUGAAAUGCGUAGAUAUUAGGAGGAACACCAGUGGCGAAGGCGGCUUACUGGACUGUAACUGACGUUGAGGCUCGAAAGCGUGGGGAGCAAACAGGAUUAGAUACCCGGGUAGUC